rnacentral:misc_RNA from 1 species
GGAGCCAUGUUGAAGGCCACUGAUAAGUGUGAAUUGGACUUCAAGGCAGAAGAAAGGUCCACUUAUAUUGAACAGUUGUUAUUGAUUGCCUAGAAGUUUAAAAGGAGUCCUUACAGCUAUGUUUGGGCAACUGCAGGCAAGCUGCCAAAAUCUUCAGAAGCAUGUAGGUGCUGGUGGAUAUUGUUAUCCAGCUAUAGUAGCCUCAGUGUGAAGAAAGGAGCACUUAAAAUUCUAUUUAAGCUUGAACAUAUUAUAGAAUCUGUCAAAUC